UACGUAGGGUCCGAGCGUUGUCCGGAAUUACUGGGCGUAAAGAGCUCGUAGGUGGUUUGUCGCGUUGUUCGUGAAAACUCACAGCUCAACUGUGGGCGUGCGGGCGAUACGGGCAGACUUGAGUACUGCAGGGGAGACUGGAAUUCCUGGUGUAGCGGUGGAAUGCGCAGAUAUCAGGAGGAACACCGGUGGCGAAGGCGGGGUCUCUGGGCCGAUAUUGACGCUGGAGGAGCGAAAAGCGUGGGGAGCGAACAGG
rnacentral:rRNA from 1 species